rnacentral:rRNA from 1 species
UACGUAGGGUGCAAGCGUUAAUCGGAAUUACUGGGCGUAAAGCGUGCGCAGGCGGCUUUGCAAGACAGAUGUGAAAUCCCCGGGCUUAACCUGGGAACUGCAUUUGUGACUGCAUGGCUGGAGUGCGGCAGAGGGGGAUGGAAUUCCGCGUGUAGCGGUGAAAUGCGCAGAUAUCGGGAGGAACACCGGUGGCGAAGGCGGUUCUCUGGGCCUGACCUGACGCUGAGGAGCGAAAGCGUGGGGAGCGAACAGG